rnacentral:rRNA from 1 species
UACGGGGGGGUGCGAGCGUUGUCCGGAAUCACUGGGCGUAAAGGGCGCGUAGGCGGCAUGCCAAGCGUGUGGUGAAAGCCCGGGGCUCAACCCCCGGGUCGGCCGUGCGGACUGGCGUGCUCGAGCACUGUAGGGGCGGGUGGAAUUCCGGGUGGUAGUGGUGAAAUGCGUAGAGAUCCGGAGGAACACCAGUGGCGAAGGCGACACGCUGGGCCAUACCGUGACGCUGAAAGCGCGACAGCAUGGGGAGCAAACGGGAUUAGAUACCCCCAGGUA